rnacentral:rRNA from 1 species
GGGGUAAGGAAAUUAUAUUUUGACAUGGAUUUUUUUGUUUUGGCAAGAGCAUGAGAGCUUUUACUGGGCAAGAAGACAAGAGAUGGAGAGUCCAGCCGGGCCUGCGCUUAAGUGCGCGGUCUUGCUAGGCUUGUAAGUUUCUUUCUUGCUAUUCCAAACGGUGAGAGAUUUCUGUGCUUUUGUUAUAGGACAAUUAAAACCGUUUCAAUACAACACACUGUGGAGUUUUCAUAUCUUUGCAACUUUUUCUUUGGGCAUUCGAGCAAUCGGGGCCCAGAGGUAACAAACACAAACAAUUUUAUUUAUUCAUUAAAUUUUUGUCAAAAACAAGAAUUUUCGUAACUGGAAAUUUUAAAAUAUUAAAAACUUUCAACAACGGAUCUCUUGGUUCUCGCAUCGAUGAAGAACGCAGCGAAAUGCGAUACGUAAUGUGAAUUGCAGAAUUCCGUGAAUCAUCGAAUCUUUGAACGCACAUUGCGCCCCUUGGUAUUCCAGGGGGCAUGCCUGUUUGAGCGUCAUUUCCUUCUCAAACAUUCUGUUUGGUAGUGAGUGAUACUCUUUGGAGUUAACUUGAAAUUGCUGGCCUUUUCAUUGGAUGUUUUUUUUCCAAAGAGAGGUUUCUCUGCGUGCUUGAGGUAUAAUGCAAGUACGGUCGUUUUAGGUUUUACCAACUGCGGCUAAUCUUUUUUAUACUGAGCGUAUUGGAACGUUAUCGAUAAGAAGAGAGCGUCUAGGCGAACAAUGUUCUUAAAGUUUGACCUCAAAUCAGGUAGGAGUACCCGCUGAACUUAAGCAUAUCAUAAAGCCGGAGGAAA